rnacentral:rRNA from 1 species
AACGAACGCUGGCGGCAUGCUUAACACAUGCAAGUCGAACGAGACGUCCGGGUUCAGUGGCUCCCGGGUGGGCAACGGGUGGGGACACGCCCUUAGGUUCGGAACAACUCCCUGAAAGGGGUGCUAAUAACGGAUACUGUUACCGGACCAAAGAUUUAUCGCCUUUGGGUGGGUCCGCGUUGGAUUAGCGAGGUGGUAGGGUACAAGCCUUCCAAGGCGACGAUCCAUAGCUGGUCUGAGAGGGGGAUCAGCCACACUGGGACUGAGACACGGCCCAGACUCCUGCGAGAAGCAGCGGUGGUGGAUAUUGGACUGGGGGCGAGAGGCUGAUCCAGCAAGGCCGCGUGAGUGAUGAAGGCCUUAGGAUUGUAAAGCGCUUUUACCCGAGAUGAUAAUGACGGUACCGGGUGAAGAAGCUCCGGCUAACUCCGUG